rnacentral:lncRNA from 1 species
GCGGUGGCCGCGAGCGCGGCGAGCGGGUCGCCCCCCAGAUCGGAAGANGCGGCGAGCUGGUCGCCCCCCGCCGCCGCGGCCAGCUCCGGCGGCAGCACGGACGCCGCCCACUCCCUCGCCGCCUCCAGCAGCGCCAUCCCCCGCUUCCUUCCGCCAACGGCCCGGGGGUAGGAGGCGAUGGGAGGCGCUCGUGGAGGCGCACCUACCACCAACUGCUGCUGCUGCUG